AUAGUAUUUAUGCCUCUAACUGGAACGUACCUUGAGCCUAUAUGCUGUGACCCGAAAGAUGGUGAACUAUACUUGUUCAGGUUGAAGUCAGGGGAAACCCUGAUAGAAGACCUGAUGGGGCGAAAGACCAAUCGAACCAUCUAGUAGCUGGUUCCUUUCGAAGUUUCCCUCAGGAUAGCUGGUGCAUUUGAAUGUUAUAUAAAAUAAUCUUAUCUGGUAAAGCGAAUGAUUAGAGGCCUUAGGGUCGAAACGAUCUUAACCUAUUCUCAAACUUUAAAUGGGUAAGAACCUUAACUUUCUCGAUAUGAAGUUUAAGGUUAUGAUAUAAUGUGCCCAGUGGGCCACUUUUGGUAAGCAGAACUGGCGCUGUGGGAUGAAUCAAACGUAAUGUUACGGUGGCCAAAUUAACAACUCAUGCAAAAACCAUGAAAGGCGUUGGUUGCUUAAAACAGCAGGACGGUGAUCAUGGAAGUCGAAAUCCGCUAAGGAGUGUGUAACAACUCACCUGCCGAAGCAACUAGCCCUUAAAAUGGAUGGCGCUUAAAUUGUAUACCUAUACAUUACCGCUAAAGUAGAUGAUUUAUAUUACUCGUGAUAUAAAUUUUGAAACUUUAGUGAGUAGGAAGGUACAAUGGUA
rnacentral:ncRNA from 1 species